rnacentral:rRNA from 1 species
GGUUCGAUCCUGGCUCAGAUUGAACGCUGGCGGGAUGCUUUACACAUGCAAGUCGAACGGCAGCACGGACUUCUGGUCUGGUGGCGAGUGGCGAACGGGUGAGUAAUGUAUCGGAACGUGCCUAGUAGCGGGGAUAACUACGCGAAAGCGUAGCUAAUACCGCAUACCGCCCUUCGGGGAAAGCGGGGGACCUUCGGGCCUCGCAAUUAUUAGAGCGGCCGAUAUCGGAUUAGCUAGUUGGUGGCAACGGCUCACCAAGGCGACGAUCUGUAGCUGGUUUGAGAGGACGACCAGCCACACUGGGACUGGAGAUUACUGGCCUUAAUUCUACGGGAGGCAGCAGUGGGGAAUUUUGACAAUGGGGGAAACCCUGAUCCAGCCAUCCCGCGUGUGUGCGAUAAGGCCUUCGGGUUGUAAAGCACUUUGGCAGGAAAGAAACGGCACGGGAUAAUACCCCGUGCAACGACGGUACCUGCAGAAUAAGCACCUGGCUAACUACGUGCGCCAGCAGCCGCGGUAGAAUACGUGGCAAGCGUUAAUCGGAAUUACUGGGCGUAAGCGUGCGCAGGCGGUUCGGAAAGAAAGAUGUGAAAUCCAGAGCUUAACUUUGGAACUGCAUUUUUAACUACCGGUUAGGAGUGUGUCAGAUACGAGGGAGGUGGAAUUCGCGUGUAGCAGCAAAUGCGUAGAUAUGCGGAGGAACACCGAUGGCGAAGGCAGCCUCCUCGGGAUAACACUGACGCUCAUGCACGAAAGCGUAAAGAGCAAACAGGAUUAGAUACUCCCAGUAGUCCACGCCCUAAACGAUGUCACCAGCUGCUGGGGCCUUCGGGCCUUGCAGCGCAGCUAACGCGCGUAGUUGACCGCCUGGGGAGUACGGUCGCAAGAUUAAAACUCAAAGGAAUUGACGGGGACCCGCACAAGCGGUGGAUGAUGUGGAUUGUCUGAUGCAACGCGAAAAACCUUACCUACCCUUGACAUGUCUGGAAUCCCGAAGAGAUUUGGGAGUGCUCGCAAGAACCGGAACACAGGUGCUGCAUGGCUGUCGUCAGCUCGUGUCGUGAGAUGUUGUGGGGUUAAGCCCGCAACGAGCGCAACCCUUGUCAUUAGUUGCUGUCGAAAGGGCACUCUAAUGAGACUGCCGGUGACAAACCGGAGGAAGGUGGGGAUGACGUCAAGUCCUCAUGGCCCUUAUGGGUAGGGCUUCACACGUCAUACAAUGGUCGGGACAGAGGGUCGCCAACCCGCGAGGGGGAGCCAAUCCCAGAAACCCGAUCGUAGUCCGGAUCGCAGUCUGCAACUCGAUCUGCGUGGCCGAAUCGCUAGUAAUCGCGGAUCAGCAUGUCGCGGUGAAUACGUUCCCGGGUCUUGUACACACCGCCCGUCACACCAUGGGAGUGGGUUUUACCAGAAGUAGUUAGCCUAACCGUAAGGAGGGCGAUUACCACGGUAGGAUUCAUGACUGGGGUGAAGUCGUAACAGAAGGUAGCCUCUGUUACUACCUG